UGGGGAAUAUUGCACAAUGGGCGCAAGCCUGAUGCAGCCAUGCCGCGUGUAUGAAGAAGGCCUUCGGGUUGUAAAGUACUUUCAGCGGGGAGGAAGGCGAUAAGGUUAAUAACCUUGUCGAUUGACGUUACCCGCAGAAGAAGAACCGGCUAACUCCGUGCCAGCAGCCGCGGUAAUACGGAGGGUGCAAGCGUUAAUCGGGAUUACUGGGCGUAAAGCGCACGCAGGCGGUCUGUCAAGUCGGAUGUGAAAUCCCCGGGCUCAACCUGGGAACUGCAUUCGAAACUGGCAGGCUAGAGUCUUGUAGAGGGGGGUAGAAUUCCAGGUGUAGCGGUGAAAUGCGUAGAGAUCUGGAGGAAUACCGGUGGCGAAGGCGGCCCCCUGGACAAAGACUGACGCUCAGGUGCGAAAGCGUGGGGAGCAAACA
rnacentral:rRNA from 1 species